UAUCCGUCGCGGGCGUAGGAAAUUUGAGAGGACCUGUCCUUAGUACGAGAGGACCGGGAUGGACAUACCGCUGGUGUACCAGUUGUUCCGCCAGGAGCACCGCUGGGUAGCUAUGUAUGGACGAGAUAAACGCUGAAAGCAUCUAAGUGUGAAACUCGCCUCGAGAUGAGAUUUCCCAUUUCCUUCGGGAAAGUAAGACCCCUC
rnacentral:rRNA from 1 species